rnacentral:rRNA from 1 species
GAUGAACGCUGGCGGCGUGCUUAACACAUGCAAGUCGAACGGUGAAGCAGGAGCUUGCUCCUGUGGAUCAGUGGCGAACGGGUGAGUAACACGUGAGCAAUCUGCCCUGGACUCUGGGAUAAGCGUUGGAAACGACGUCUAAUACCGGAUACGAGGCGUGGGGGCAUCCCCAACGCCUGGAAAGAACUUCGGUCCAGGAUGGGCUCGCGGCCUAUCAGGUAGUUGGUGAGGUAAUGGCUCACCAAGCCUACGACGGGUAGCCGGCCUGAGCGGGUGACCGGCCACACUGGGACUGAGACACGGCCCAGACUCCUACGGGAGGCAGCAGUGGGGAAUAUUGCACAAUGGGCGCAAGCCUGAUGCAGCAACGCCGCGUGCGGGAUGACGGCCUUCGGGUUGUAAACCGCUUUUAGUAAGGAAGAAGGGGAGCUUGCUCCUUGACGGUACUUGCAGAAAAAGGACCGGCUAACUUCGUGCCAGCCGCCGCGGUAAGAC